GAGAAUGGCUGGAUUCAUUUGAGCGUGUACAGUUUUGUUUAUAGUUAGUGAAGAGAUGAAAAUAAUGAAACUGUAUGGUGCAGAAAGUGUCUUUUUCAUUACAGUUUCUGCUGCUGGGCAAGCGGUAGCUCACUAUGGCUUCUGUACCGUGAAAUGAAGCUUAUGAUAAAUAAAAUACUGCUGCUUGCUGGUCACUGAUUGAAGAUCGUUCAGUGGCUACCAUUGGCCAAUCUCACCAACGGGAUAAUAAGAACUGAUGCAGGUUUAUAUCUAUAUGUAUUGUCUAUUCGGAACAAAGUUAGUAAGCUUUAUAAACCGAUGUUAGAUUUUUCUCCAGAUUUUUUUUUUUCUCCUGUUCGGGUGUGCCACUGCGACCAAUUAUUAGAUCUAUUGUAGCGUUACCCGUAUCCUUGGUGUUUAAGUGCAUGUCGAAUUACUCCAGUGCUAUUGAGAAGCAAUGUAGUAUCGGUUUCGAUACAGUUGUUGUUUUGUUUCCUCAAGACCACCAUGACAAGGUCCCGCUAUUUAGACCCUUCAUAGAGAGCAAUCCCAUUGAAGGCGCGCCCCUUAUCAAUAAGAAAUCAAUCCUUUCUUGAGAAAACAGAACAGUAAUACUGUUUUUGGCCAUGCAUCGGGGCCCUAGCCACAUCCUUGUCUUGCUUCUAGAAUAUCACCAGUGAAACUCUUAAAACCCGGGAUUUAGCUCUGCCUACAACGAGGGGCGAUUCACUUGUGUAUUUUCGAUUCA